rnacentral:rRNA from 1 species
AGAAAAUAGAUACCCCGGUAGUCCUGGCCUUAAACGAUGGGCACUAGGUAGUGGGCUCGACCUGGGCGCACUGCCGCAGCGAAAAAGUCAUUAGUGCCCCGCCUGGGGAGUAUGGUCGCAAGGCUGAAACUCAAAGGAAUUGACGGGGGCGUCACACAAGCGGUGGAGCAUGUGGCUUAAUUCGAGGCUACGCGAAGAACCUUACCCAGGCUUGACAUGUGCGAAAGCGCCAAGUGUACCUGGGGGAAACCGUCAGGGAACCCCGCAAGGGGGACGUUGUACAGGUGCUGCAUGGCGUGUCGUCAGCUCGUGUCGUGAGAUGUC